UACGUAGGGGGGCAAGCGUUGUCCGGAAUUAUUGGGCGUAAAGCGCGCGCAGGCGGUCAUUUAAGUCUGGUGUUUAAUCCUGGGGCUCAACCCCAGUUCGCAUCGGAAACUGGAUGACUUGAGUGUAGGAGGGGAAAGUGGAAUUCCACGUGUAGCGGUGAAAUGCGUAGAUAUCGGGAGGAACACCAGUGGCGAAGGCGACUACCUGGCCUGUUUCUUGACGCUGAGGCGCGAAAGCUAGG
rnacentral:rRNA from 1 species